GAUGAACGCUGGCGGCGUGCCUAAUACAUGCAAGUCGAGCGAACGGACGAGAAGCUUGCUUCUCUGAUGUUAGCGGCGGACGGGUGAGUAACACGUGGAUAACCUACCUAUAAGACUGGUAUAACUUCGGGAAACCGGAGCUAAUACCGGAUGAUAUUUUGAACCGCAUGGUUCAAAAGUGAAAGACGGUCUUGCUGUCACUUAUAGAUGGAUCCGCGCUGCAUUAGCUAGUUGGUAAGGUAACGGCUUACCAAGGCAACGAUGCAUAGCCGACCUGAGAGGGGGAUCGGCCACACUGGAACUGAGACACGGUCCAGACUCCUACGGGAGGCAGCAGUAGGGAAUCUUCCGCAGUGGGCGAAAGCCUGACGGAGCAACGCCGCGUGAGUGAUGAAGGUCUUCGGAUCGUAAAACUCUGUUAUUAGGGAAGAACAUAUGUGUAAGUAAAUGUGCACAUAUUGACGGUACCUAAUCAGAAAGCCACGGCUAACUACGUG
rnacentral:rRNA from 1 species